rnacentral:rRNA from 1 species
UACAGAGGUCUCAAGCGUUUGUUCGGAUUCAUUGGGCGUAAAGGGGUGCGUAGGCGGCGCGGUAAGUCGGGUGUGAAAUCUCGGAGCUUAACUCCGAAACUGCAUUCGAUACUGCCGUGCUUUGAGGACUGGAGAGGAGACUGGAAUUUUACGGUGUAGCGGUGAAAAUGCGUAGAUAUCGUAAGGAAGACCAGUGGCGAAGGCGGGUCUCUGGACAGUUCCUGACGCUGAGG